GUGGUGCCUGGUCCGGCGGAUGUGGUUGUAGAUUUAGUUGUGGUAGUUGGACCUUCAGUUGUGGUGCUUGGUCCUGCCGAUGUGGUUGUAGAUUUAGUUGUGGUAGUUGGACCUUCUGUUGUGGUACUGGGUCCCGAGGGUGUGGUUGUCGUUGGACCUUCAGUUGUGGUGCUUGGUCCUGCGGAUGUGGUUGUAGAUUUAGUUGUGGUCGUUGGACCUUCUGUUGUGGUACUGGGUCCCGAGGGUGUGGUUGUCGUUGGACCUUCAGUUGUGGUGCUUGGUCCUGCCGAUGUGGUUGUAGAUUUAGUUGUGGUAGUUGGACCUUCAGUUGUGGUGCUUGGUCCUGCCGAUGUGGUUGUAUAUUUAGUUGUGGUAGUUGGACCUUCUGUUGUAGU